rnacentral:lncRNA from 1 species
CUCACGCCCUACCUGGCCACACCUGGGUGUGGUUAAUUAACCACUCCCCUUUGGAAGUGGGUUAAAAGACUAGGACACAGUGUGUCCCAGCCCUUCUCUCUUCUCUGGCCUCUUGCCAGAAGGGGGCUUGCUGUAGCCCUGCACCUCCAGGGCACGUGGCCUUCAGGCCACCCGCCCUAGGCUUCCUGGCCUAGAUGCUCCUCCACGUGGCUGGUUCCUGGCACUAGUUUGUUCUAUGCCAUCAUUUGCCAGAAUGUCCAUGUGAACUGGAACCUGUGUGACCAGUUAUCCCAAAUGCCAUCUUAUUUCUACUCAAAGAUGGUCUCAGUAAAUAUUCACUGAAUAGACAAACAGACCGCAUUCAAGCUUGAAGGCAGAUGCUUCAUUCUCCUCUCCACAAUCAAGUCCCUGAGCAACAUCCUCCACGCUGGGCAAGAAGUUGGCAAGUGUGUUCCUAGCAGCCUUACCACAGUGGUCCAAAGGUGGAAGCAGCCCGGGGCCUGUGGACAGGUGAGUAGAAAAGCAUUUACAUACAAACAUGUACAUCUGUGUAUGCAACAUUGAAAAGCCUUCAACAGGAAGGAAAUUCUGACACACACUGCAAUGUGGACGACCCGUAAGACAUUACGCUAAGCAAGGUGAGCAAGUCAC